rnacentral:rRNA from 1 species
AAACGUAGGUGGCGAGCGUUAUCCGGAAUCAUUGGGCGUAAAGGGCGUCUAGGCGGCUGGGUAAGUUGUGCGUGAAAGCGUCCUGCUCAACGGGGCGAGGUCGUACGAAACUGCCGAGCUUGAGGGCCGGAGAGGGGGGUGGAAUUCCCGGUGUAGCGGUGAAAUGCGUAGAGAUCGGGAGGAACACCAGUGGCGAAGGCGGCCUCCUGGCCGGUUUCUGACGCUGAAGCGCGAAAGCGUGGGGAGCGAACGGGAUUAGAUACCCCGGCAGUCCACGCCGUAAACGAUGGGGACUAGGUGUACGGGAUGGGAGACAUCCUGUGUGCCGCAGCCAACGCGGUAAGUCCCCCGCCUGGGGAGUACGGCCGCAAGGCUAAA